UGGCAAAUUAGGGUUUUGAGAUUCUUUGCAUGGAUUGUUGAAUUAGGAACUGUUUUUGGGCCGAUUAAGUUGUUGGAAAUUGGUUAGCAUGGUAGUAAUUAGCAUUUGAGUGGAGAUUAGGGCUGAUUUGGUGAAAAUUUUUGAAAACCCCUCGCACUGCCGGGCGGUAUGCUGAUGCAUAAGCGGUCCUUUUUGACGCCAAGCGAUAUGCUGCGUUUUU
rnacentral:lncRNA from 1 species